UCAUUGUCUCGCUUGAGGCGUGGUUAUCCCGUAGCUGCUCCGGCGUGGUGAGCCACCGCAGCCAUAUCUUCUCUACGUCACCGUGGUGAGCCGCCGCAACCAUAUCUCCUCUAGAUCGUCCAAAUAACUAAAACUUAAAACUGGGUCGAGUUCAAUCACAUUAAGCGAUGCAGACUUCUUCAGACGCUUAAUCCAUGCUUACGUGAAAAAGGGCUGAUCGGGGUUUGGAUUGAAUGCUCCAGAUCACUCAUCGAUUUCUGCUUUCUCCCUGAACUCAUGAUCCAUUUUCCAUAAUUUUGCACAUUUUGCCCCUGCUGUUUUUAAGAAUCUUUAAUUUUGGCCCACACACUUUUAAUUUGUACAGAUUUUCCUUCAUUUUUUCCCCAAAC
rnacentral:lncRNA from 1 species